rnacentral:rRNA from 1 species
AUUGAACGCUGGCGGCAUGCUUUACACAUGCAAGUCGGACGAGUGGCGAACGGGAGUGUAAUAUAUCGGAACGUACCGAGUAAUGGGGGAUAACUAAGCGAAAGAUUAGCUAAUCCCGCAUAUUAUUCUAGCGGCCGAUAUCUGAUUAGCUAGUGGGUGGGGUAAAGGCCUACCAAGGCGACGCUCAGUAGCGGGUCUGAGUGGAGGAUCCGCAACACUGGGACGGGGACACGGCCCGGACUCCUACGGAAGGCAGCGGUGGGGAAUUUUGGACAAGGGGCGCAAGCCUGCUCCGGCCAUGCCGCGUGUCUGAAGAAGGCCUUCGGGUUGUAAAGGACUUUUGUCAGGGAAGCGGUACCUGAAGAGUAAGCACCGGCUAACUACGUGCCAGCAGCCGCGGUAAUUC